UUCUCUGUCCUCUGUGUUUUUUCUCUCUCUAGUUCAUUCACAGGAACUUGCUUGCUCUUGCUCUCUUUUUUCAAAAAGCAAAAUAAUCAGGUUUCUUUCUGAAACUGCACUAACACGUAUCUUUUUAUCUUUCUCCACGCCUACAUAUUUCUCUCCUUGUCUUUUUCACUGCUUCUGUGUUUAUCUGUUUCGCUUCUGCACAACACCGACCUCUCAACCUUCCCUUUAAGCCCCUCCUUGAAUUUUGAGCCACCAAGCUUUUCCUUUUCCUUCCCAUUUGGGUUACUUCCAGAACCUUUUCGAUUUUCAUCAUAAUGAUUCUCUAGCCCCUCAUAUCAGUAUCACCUUCACUCCUUCUUUUUCAACUCAUUACCAAACCAUGGAUUCCAAUUCCCGUUACCAACUUCAGCAACAACACCAGCCCAAUUCCGGCUUACUUCGCUUUCGCUCUGCCCCCACUCAAGUUCUCGCCAACUUCAAACAACCCGAAGCUUCUUCCGUCAACGCCAACCCCUGGGAGGGUUCUGAACCACUUUUAAGAUUCUUCAAUUCCGGCGACACCCUCGAUACGACAUCCCCUACCUUACGAGAAUUCGUAGAUAACAAGGUUUCUAAUGAGAAUAAACAACCGAAGGAGUCAACAAUAUCGUCCUCCUCCUCAUCAUUAUCACCUCUGACUCGCAUGAAUUCCCAGCAAGGUUAUAGUACUUCUGUGUUACCCUCUCGGUACCCGAGGCAUGACUCUACAGUAACUGUUUCUUCAUCUAUGAUGGUGGGUUCUGUGGGAAUGGAUCAGGGCGGAAAAAUCUUUAAUCCCAAUCUUCUCAGGCAGAGUAGCUUCCCUUCUGGCAAUUUCUCUAACAGCAUCUCCUUUCACAACGGGUACGAUGGUAUGAAAGGUGUUGAAAACUUUGGUGGUGUUAAUGGCAUUGAUGGUGAGCAUAGAAUAUCUAUGAACAGAAUGAAGAAUCACAUUAGCUUCUCACCAAGGAGUCCUUCUUCUUUGGGAAUUUUAUCACCAACCUCUAAAAUGGGCACGGAGGGUCUUAGGGUAACUAGCCCCGAGGAUGGUAGACAUGGAGGUAGCAAUGGUGAUGCUCGAUAUUACGGCCCUGGAUUCCCUUAUGCUUCUUGGAAUGAGACGUCAAACGCCAAAAGACAACGAAAUAGUAAUGAUGAAUUACUUUCUGAAGCUCAGAACGGAGAGCUGGGAAAUCAAGUUCAUUCUCUUUCGUAUCAUUUGAGUUUGCCAAGAACGUCCUCGGAGAUGUUUGCUAUGGACAACUUGCUUCAGUUUAAUGAUUCUGUUCCUUGUAAAAUCAGAGCAAAGAGAGGCUUUGCUACUCAUCCUCGAAGCAUUGCCGAAAGGGUGAGAAGAACUAGGAUCAGUGAACGAAUAAGAAAAUUGCAAGAGCUUGUUCCAAAUAUGGAGAAGCAAACCAGCACAGCAGAGAUGUUAGACUUGGCUGUAGACUACAUAAAGAACCUUCAGAAUCAAUUCAAGAAUCUGAGCGAAAGAAGGGCUAAAUGCAAAUGUACAAACAUGCAGAAACCAGAAACAGAUAAAAUUGCUUGAGUUUCUUUUGUAAAUUUGAUGAAAGGAGCUAUGCAAACAUGGAUGGUGGAUAUGACCCGGUAGAAAAUAGCAAAGUGAUGCAGCUGUGACCUCACUCCACCUUUGGAUCCUUGUAGAGAUUCAAGAUAUGGUUAGAAAAAUCUGAUGCAAAAGGUUGACACUUACACUCAAAAUAGCAAAACAGGUUGAAAUGAACAGCUGAAAGAUAAAGACAAAAGUAAAGUUAAAAGGAUAUCACUUUCUGAGAAGAAAAUCAUUUAAAUUUGGACGUUUAGGGGUCUAUUCCAUGACAGGAGCAAAUAUUAUUAUUUGCAUCAGGCCAAACUUGUUUGUAUUGUAACAAGUCUUGUCGAACAUAAUAUCCAAAAUGAAACUCUUCAAUACCUAGUGCAAUUUGCUUCAA